GAUGAACGCUGGCGGCGUGCCUAAUACAUGCAAGUCGAGCGAACGGACGAGAAGCUUGCUUUUCUGAUGUUAGCGGCGGACGGGUGAGUAACACGUGGAUAACCUACCUAUAAGACUGGGAUAACUUCGGGAAACCGGAGCUAAUACCGGAUAAUAUUUUGAACCGCAUGGUUCAAAAGUGAAAGACGGUCUUGCUGUCACUUAUAGAUGGAUCCGCGCUGCAUUAGCUAGUUGGUAAGGUAACGGCUUACCAAGGCAACGAUGCAUAGCCGACCUGAGAGGGUGAUCGGCCACACUGGAACUGAGACACGGUCCAGACUCCUACGGGAGGCAGCAGUAGGGAAUCUUCCGCAAUGGGCGAAAGCCUGACGGAGCAACGCCGCGUGUGUGAUGAAGGUCUUCGGAUCGUAAAACUCUGUUAUUAGGGAAGAACAUAUGUGUAAGUAACUGUGCACAUCUUGACGGUACCUAAUCAGAAAGCCACGGCUAACUACGUG
rnacentral:rRNA from 1 species